rnacentral:rRNA from 1 species
AACGAACGCUGGCGGCGUGUUUAAGACAUGCAAGUCGCACGGGAUAAGACAUGUAGUAAUACUUGUUUUAUUUAGUGGCGCACGGGUGAGUAACACGUGAAUUACAUGCCCUAUAGUGGGGAAUAGCCCAGGGAAACUUGGAUUAAUACCCCACGGUAUCAAAAGAUUAAAGGUGGCCGCAAGGCUGUCGCUAUAGGAUUGGUUCGCGCCCUAUCAGCUUGUUGGUGAGGUAACGGCUCACCAAGGCAAUGACGGGUACCUGGUCUGAGAGGACGAUCAGGCACACUGGAACUGAGAAACGGUCCAGACACCGACGGGUGGCAGCAGUCGAGAAUAAUCCACGAUGGGGGCAACCCUGAUGGUGCAACGCCGCGUGGAGGAUGACGGUCUUCGGAUUGUAAACUCCUGUCAUCUGGGAGAAAGACCUGACGGUAAAUAGCCGGCAGGGUUGAUAGUACCAGAAGAGGAAGGGACGGCUAACUUCGUGCCAGCAGCCGCGGUAA